ensembl:lncRNA
ACGUUUUCGUAACAUUUUUAAAAUGGUAGGAUGGAAUGUUUCUGUAAUGUUCGCAGAAACCCCACAAAAAAUGUUCUCAAUACAUUAAAAAAACUUGCCGUUCUCAACGUGUACAAAACAUUCCGAAAUAACGUUUUCAUAACUUAAGGGAAAUGUUAGUAAAACGUUCUGACAACUCAUUUUUGUUAGCUGGGUCUACGCAUCAACAUCUUGUUUUUCACAACUGAGAGACUCUUAUAGAUGGGUCCUAUAAACCUCUCCCACCAUCAACUGCUGUGCAAGACCUCAGUGGCCAAAAUGUCAUAUAUGAGCAAGGUAAGAAGUACUUGAAAGCUUAAAAACAUGUUUUUAUUUUAGUUAAUAUUUUUUUUCUUUCAUCUAGUGUGUUUGCUGCCCAUUACACAACCUGACAAAAUUUGUGAUUAUGACCCUCAAAACCUGGCUGUUGUAGCUGGAUGAUCUGUUGUACUCAUCUGUAUAAAUGGUCGCUAUGACGUCUUCCUGCCAGUGAUGAAUUGCAGACCAUGUCUUGCAUCAUGGACAGCUGAGGUGGUGGACAUGUUGUUUAGUGGUUACUGGCCAGGCACUGUCAAGUUUCAAACCAUAUACCAGGUAGACCUCUUUGCAUCGCUUGAGAUCACUGCACCUGGGCUUUCAAGACAAGCAUUUGUGAAAAUGUUACAACAGCGCUCACAACAAUUUGGAAGGAGUGGUAACAUUUGUGGCAACGUCUUCCAAAAAGCUUUCCUUGAAUGGACAUAUUGUCGUCAUAAAAGAGAAAAACUCUGCGGCAUUGAUCACUUCUCUUGCCCAGCUUGCACCCCAGAUACAGUUGCUGUGUCUGCAGAUGGAAACAGAAAACUAUACAGAUUCAGCAAAACAAAGGGGGCAGAGGAACAACCAUUUUUUGAUGGAGUUUUUCUGGCUAAUGACAAAGAUGUAGCAACAUUUGUUGAUUGUGUUCGUGAGAAGACCAUUCCAGUACAUGGAAAAGGCAUCUGUGGAACAUGAGCAUGGGCUGCAGCCAGGGAGACCUCUAAAAAGACAAACACUAAAUGUGAUGAAGAGGGCCUAGAGGUGGCAGUUUGCAGGCACAGCAUAUUAGGCUGAACAUGCCUAAUAAUUCAGCACUCCUGCAUAUAAGGAGUUUUUCACUUCCAGCCUUCAAAGACAAUUAUAUAUCACUCAUAAAUGAUUAAAUACCAAAUGUGUAGUAUUAUUUUUUUUAUGUCCCUAAAACUGACAGAAAAUGAUAAGGCCUAAGAGAAUUCUUAAGCUGUAAUGAUGAAAAAAAAAAAACAACACACAAUUACUGAUUUUUUUUUUCUUUUUCUUCUUUUUCUGGUGAUUAAAGAGAUAUUAACUCUCUCUCUCUCUCUCUCUCUCUCUCUCUCUCUCUC